rnacentral:rRNA from 1 species
AAAUGAAUAGACGGGGGCCCGCACAAGCAGUGGAUUAUGUGGUUUAAUUCGAAGCAACGCGAAGAACCUUACCAGGGUUUGACAUCCAACUAACGAGGCAGAGAUGCGUUAGGUGCCCUUCGGGGAAAGUUGAGACAGGUGGUGCAUGGUUGUCGUCAGCUCGUGUCGUGAGAUGUUGGGUUAAGUCCCGCAACGAGCGCAACCCUUAUUGCUAGUUGCUACGGAAAGAGCACUCUAGCGAGACUGCCGUUGAUAAAACGGAGGAAGGUGGGGACGACGUCAAAUCAUCAUGCCCCUUAUAUCCUGGGCUACACACGUAAUACAAUGGCGUUUAACAGAGGGAAGCGAAGGAGCGAUCUGGAGCAAAUCCCAGAAAAGGCGUCUCAGUUCGGAUUGCAGGCUGCAACUCGCCUGUAUGAAGUCGGAAUUGCUAGUAAUCGCGGAUCAGCAUGCCGCGGUGAAUACGUUCCCGGGCCUUGUACACACCGCCCGU